ACUCCUACGGGAGGCAGCAGUGGGGAAUAUUGGACAAUGGGCGAAAGCCUGAUCCAGCAAUGCCGCGUGAGUGAUGAAGGCCUUAGGGUUGUAAAGCUCUUUUACCCGGGUAUGAUAAUGACAGUACCGGGAGAAUAAGCUCCGGCUAACUCCGUGCCAGCAGCCGCGGUAAUACGGAGGGAGCUAGCGUUAUUCGGAAUUACUGGGCGUAAAGCGCACGUAGGCGGCUUUGUAAGUUAGAGGUGAAAGCCUGGAGCUCAACUCCAGAAUUGCCUUUAAGACUGCAUCGCUUGAAUCCAGGAGAGGUGAGUGGAAUUCCGAGUGUAGAGGUGAAAUUCGUAGAUAUUCGGAAGAACACCAGUGGCGAAGGCGGCUCACUGGACUGGUAUUGACGCUGAGGUGCGAAAGCGUGGGGAGCAAACAGGAUUAGAUA
rnacentral:rRNA from 1 species